rnacentral:siRNA from 1 species
UCGAAUUUGGUGUAAAAUUGC